UACGGAGGGUGCAAGCGUUGUCCGGAUUUAUUGGGUUUAAAGGGUGCGUAGGCGGCCCUGUAAGUCCGUGGUGAAAGCCAACAGCUCAACUGUUGAACUGCCAUGGAUACUGCAGGGCUUGAGUACAGACGAGGUAGGCGGAAUGGAUAGUGUAGCGGUGAAAUGCAUAGAUACUAUCCAGAACACCGAUUGCGUAGGCAGCUUACUAGGCUGUAACUGAUGCUGAGGCACGAAAGCGUGGGGAGCGAACAGG
rnacentral:rRNA from 1 species